CCUACGGGGGGCUGCAGUUGGGAAUAUUGCACAAUUGGGGAAACCCUGAUGCUGCGGCCCCGCGGUAGCGUUUAAGGGCUUCGGGGCGUAAAUGUUUUGCCCUAUGGAAGAUAAUUACCGGAACUUCGGCUGAAGCCCCGGCGAACGACGUGCCAGCAGCGGCGGUAAUACGGAGGGGGCGAGAGUUGUCCGGAAUUACUGGGCGUACAGGGUGCGUAGGCGGGACUCUAAGUCAGAUGUGAAAGCCCUCGGCUUAACCGAGGUAAGCAUUUGAAACUGCAUAACUUGAGUGCAGGAGAGGAGAGUGGAAUUCCUAGUGUAGCGGUGAAAUGCGUAGAUAUUAGGAAGAACACCAGUGGCGAAGGCGACUCUCUGGACUGUAACUGACGCUGAGGCACGAAAGCGUGGGGAGCGAACAGGAUUAGUUACCCGAGUAGUC
rnacentral:rRNA from 1 species